GACAUCCUAGGACGACUUCUGGAGACAGAUUUCUUCCCUUCGGGGACCUAGUGACAGGUGCUGCAUGGCUGUCGUCAGCUCGUGUCGUGAGAUGUUGGGUUAAGUCCCGCAACGAGCGCAACCCUCGUCCUUAGUUGCCAUCAUUAAGUUGGGCACUUUUAAGGAAACUGCCGGUGAUAAGCCGGAGGAAGGUGGGGAUGACGUCAAGUCCUCAUGGCCCUUACAGGCUGGGCUACACACGUGCUACAAUGGCAUCUACAGUGGGCAGCUAUCCCGCAAGGGUGCGCUAAUCUCCAAAAGAUGUCUCAGUUCGGAUUGUCCUCUGCAACUCGAGGGCAUGAAGGCGGAAUCGCUAGUAAUCGCGGAUCAGCAUGCCGCGGUGAAUACGUUCCCAGGCCUU
rnacentral:rRNA from 1 species